CUUUUCUUUACCUCUCUUCAGCUCAGAGGCAUCUGUACUACUGAAAUAGGACCUCAGAAAAAGACAUGACCUAAGAUGAAGGGAAUGAAGAGCUGCGAAACUUGUCUUUGUCUGGCCAUGUGGGAUUUGACAGCCUCCCUGACCAGCUGGUCAACAAGUCUACUUCACAAGGAUUCUGUUUCAACAUCCUUUGUGUUGGUGAGACAGGCAUUGGCAAAUCCACGUUAAUGGACACUUUGUUCAACACCAAAUUUGAAAGUGACCCAGCUACUCACAAUGAACCAGGUGUUCGGUUAAAAGCCAGAAGUUAUGAGCUUCAGGAAAGCAAUGUACGGCUGAAGUUAACCAUUGUUGACACCGUGGGAUUUGGAGACCAGAUAAAUAAAGAUGACAGCUAUAAGCCGAUAGUAGAAUAUAUUGAUGCCCAGUUCGAGGCCUACCUGCAAGAGGAAUUGAAGAUUAAACGUUCUCUCUUCAACUACCAUGACACGAGGAUCCAUGCUUGCCUCUACUUUAUUGCCCCUACUGGACAUUCACUAAAGUCCCUGGAUCUGGUCACCAUGAAAAAGCUGGACAGUA
rnacentral:sRNA from 1 species